CCCUCGAAGUCAAAAUGCAGUCCCACUGUGCUGUGAAUUUUACCCUUGAUACCUCGAAGUGGCUGUGUGUAUACCAAGUUAUAAUGUUCAAACUUUUGCCAUAACUGUAUAUCUGUGUGUCUAUCUGAGUGUCUGUUGUCAACUUAAACCUUCACCAUAACUUUAGAACUAUACGUCGAGAUAGUGGCUUCAUAUUUACUUUAGUAUGCAUACUCCACUAAUGAAGUGCUUUCAAAUGGCAACAAGGACAAUGAUUAUGUGUCAGUGAUCUUGACUGUGACCUGUAUGCUAAAAAAAUUGCUUUUUCGAACUUUGUUGCUGUGUUUCACAAGCGCAUCUUGUUUUGUUGGUCUCUGACCAGUAGAGCUUAUGCGAUAGUAAAGCGUCCGGCGUCCGUCUAGCUGUCUGUCUGUCCGUCUGUCUGCAAACACUACUCCUUAAAUUUUAGUCUGAUUUCAAUAUAACUUGGCACACAAGUAGACUAUACUAAGAUACAUAAUUCUGUGCAUCAGUUUUUGAUAAGUACAAACCAGUAGAGCUGCAGUCUCGACAGAGACUUCUGGUUAUUUUUUCUUCCAUUCCGGUUGUUGCUACUGCUAUUACAUAAUUAGUUUAAAUUAGAAUGCAAUAGUACCUGGACAUAAUUUAUCAUUUCAGAGAGAAGAAAACUGUGUGACUUUAAAAGAAAACCAGUGAGAUAAAAUCAUAGAAAAUGUAUGAUGAUUCAGGAUGUGGUCAUUUGUGACAUUAAAACAGGAAUUGUCUUCACCAAUAGACGAAUUUCACAUUCCUAAGAGUUUUCUCCAAUUGUUGGCGUAUCGCUCAUUUUUCCCACUUUGUCCUUUGUCCUGUUCUGUGGAUGCCCUAAGACAGUGUCUACCCAUCACUCCAUCUGAUAUCACUUGUUCUGAGCAUAUUUCUCUCUCAAACUUAAACUACAGAGAGCCUGUGGAUAGUGGAUGAAGAGUGUCCUUGGACCAAUUUUCUAGGUCAAAGGUCAGUAUCAAAAUCUACUGUAUAUCUUUAUUUAAAAUCGUAGUCCAGAGUAUAUUUCUCCCCUGCCUGGUGUAAUCUAGCUUUUGUGCAAUGGGGUGGACUCCGUGGAGGGUCUGCAAUGAUCUUCAACCAAUUUCUAGGUCGAAUAUCAAAAUAAAAAAAAAUCUCUCCCAAAUAUUUUUGUUAUUAUAAAGAGUAUGUUUUCUCUCAAACUAAUCAAACUUAAAGCAGGGUUCUUAGUAUGAGAUACAUGUAGUAAUAUAUUCUCAAUGACAUAAUAAGGCUGAAAACAUUAUUUAUAUUAGGCCUAAAAUAAAAUAUUG